UCCGGCUUAUCACCGGCGGUUUCUUUAGAGUGCCCAACUAAAUGAUGGCAACUAAAGACGAGGGUUGCGCUCGUUGCGGGACUUAACCCAACAUCUCACGACACGAGCUGACGACAGCCAUGCAGCACCUGUGCAGCCGUCCCGAAGGACGCUCCAGGUUUCCCCAGAGCUUCAGCUGCAUGUCAAGCCCAGGUAAGGUUCUUCGCGUUGCGUCGAAUUAAACCACAUGCUCCACCGCUUGUGCGGGCCCCCGUCAAUUCCUUUGAGUUUCAGCCUUGCGGCCGUACUCCCCAGGCGGGGCACUUCAUGCGUUAGCGUCGGCCCUCAAGGGGUCGCUCCCCCAAAGACCUAGUGCCCAUCGUUUACGGCGUGGACUAC
rnacentral:misc_RNA from 1 species